UGCUCAGAAAUGUCUUUCACAGAUGAGA
rnacentral:piRNA from 1 species